rnacentral:rRNA from 1 species
AUUGAACGCUGGCGGCAGGCCUAACACAUGCAAGUCGAGCGGAUGAUGGGAGCUUGCUCCUGGAUUCAGCGGCGGACGGGUGAGUAAUGCCUAGGAAUCUGCCUGGUAGUGGGGGACAACGUUUCGAAAGGAACGCUAAUACCGCAUACGUCCUACGGGAGAAAGCAGGGGACCUUCGGGCCUUGCGCUAUCAGAUGAGCCUAGGUCGGAUUAGCUUGUUGGUGAGGUAAUGGCACACCAAGGCGACGAUCCGUAACUGGUCUGAGAGGAUGAUCAGUCACACUGGAACUGAGACACGGUCCAGACUCCUACGGGAGGCAGCAGUGGGGAAUAUUGGACAAUGGGCGAAAGCCUGAUCCAGCCAUGCCGCGUGUGUGAAGAAGGUCUUCGGAUUGUAAAGCACUUUAAGUUGGGAGGAAGGGCAGUAAGUUAAUACCUUGCUGUUUUGACGUUACCGACAGAAUAAGCACCGGCUAACUCUGUGCCAGCCGCCGCCGUAAUAC